rnacentral:misc_RNA from 1 species
AAAUCUCAUGGGCUUCAGCUUUGUAGCCCGAGUUGGGCCUCGCCCCCCUAUGUCUGGGGGCGUCGCCUCAAAGGCAUCGGCAUCGAUGUCGAGCGGACGAGUCCCUCUAGGGCCCCACGCGCUCCAUUCGAUGCGGUGAAAAGUCGUAUGACUGAC